UGGCUAACUCCUACGGGAGGCAGCAGUGGGGAAUAUUGCACAAUGGGCGAAAGCCUGAUGCAGCGACGCCGCGUGAGGGAUGACGGCCUUCGGGUUGUAAACCUCUUUCAGCAGGGAAGAAGCGAAAGUGACGGUACCUGCAGAAGAAGCACCGGCUAACUACGUGCCAGCAGCCGCGGUAAUACGUAGGGUGCGAGCGUUGUCCGGAAUUAUUGGGCGUAAAGAGCUUGUAGGCGGUUUGUCGCGUCUGCCGUGAAAAUCCGGGGCUCAACCCCGGACUUGCGGUGGGUACGGGCAGACUAGAGUGUGGUAGGGGAGACUGGAAUUCCUGGUGUAGCGGUGAAAUGCGCAGAUAUCAGGAGGAACACCGAUGGCGAAGGCAGGUCUCUGGGCCACUACUGACGCUGAGAAGCGAAAGCGUGGGGAGCGAACAGGAUUAGAAACCCUGGUAGUCCAGCUGG
rnacentral:rRNA from 1 species